rnacentral:rRNA from 1 species
ACUCAAAGGAAUAGACGGGGGCCCGCACAAGCAGUGGAUUAUGUGGUUUAAUUCGAAGCAACGCGAAGAACCUUACCAGGGUUUGACAUCCCGCUAACGAGGCAGAGAUGCAUUAGGUGCCCUUCGGGGAAAGCGGAGACAGGUGGUGCAUGGUUGUCGUCAGCUCGUGUCGUGAGAUGUUGGGUUAAGUCCCGCAACGAGCGCAACCCCUAUUGUUAGUUGCUACGCGAGAGCACUCUAGCGAGACUGCCGUUGACAAAACGGAGGAAGGCGGGGACGACGUCAAAUCAUCAUGCCCCUUAUGUCCUGGGCUACACACGUAAUACAAUGGCGUUUAACAGAGGGAAGCUAAGCCGCGAGGUGGAGCAAAUCCCCAAAAGGCGUCUCAGUUCGGAUCGCAGGCUGCAACCCGCCUGCGUGAAGUCGGAAUUGCUAGUAAUCGCGGAUCAGCAAGCCGCGGUGAAUACGUUCCCGGGCCUUGUACACACCGCCCGU